GAUGAACGCUAGCGGCAGGCUUAAUACAUGCAAGUCGAGGGGCAGCAGGACUGUAGCAAUCCAGUUGCUGGCGACCGGCAAACGGGUGCGGAACACGUACGCAACCUACCCAAAACUGGGGGAUAGCCCGGGGAAACCCGGAUUAAUACCUCGUAACCUUUUUAAGUGGCAUCACUUGAUAUGUAUAGCUCCGGCGGUUUUGGAUGGGCGUGCGCCUGAUUAGGUAGUUGGUGCGGGUAACGGCCCACCAAGCCUGCGAUCAGUAACUGGUGUGAGAGCACGACCAGUCACACGGGCACUGAGACACGGGCCCGACUCCUACGGGAGGCAGCAGUAAGGAAUAUUGGUCAAUGGACGCAAGUCUGAACCAGCCAUGCCGCGUGAAGGAUGAAGGUCCUCUGGAUUGUAAACUUCUUUUAUGGGGGACGAAACCCGGAUAUUCUUAUCCGAUUGACGGUACCUCAGGAAUAAGCACCGGCUAACUCCGUG
rnacentral:rRNA from 1 species